rnacentral:rRNA from 1 species
UACGUAGGGUGCAAGCGUUGUCCGGAAUUAUUGGGCGUAAAGAGCUCGUAGGUGGCUUGUCACGUCGGGUGUGAAAGCUUGGGGCUUAACUCCAGGUCUGCAUUCGAUACGGGCUGGCUAGAGGUAGGUAGGGGAGAACGGAAUUCCUGGUGUAGCGGUGAAAUGCGCAGAUAUCAGGAGGAACACCGGUGGCGAAGGCGGUUCUCUGGGACGGUACUGACGCUGAGACGCGAAAGCGUGGGGAGCGAACAGG